UACAGAGACUGCAAGCGUUGUUCGGAUUCAUUGGGCGUAAAGCGUGCGCAGGCGGUGGCUCAAGCCAGGCGUGAAAUCCCCGGGCUUAACCUGGGAAUGGCGUUUGGGACUGGGUCGCUAGAGUGUGGCAGAGGGAGGUGGAAUUCCACGUGUAGCAGUGAAAUGCGUAGAGAUGUGGAGGAACACCGAUGGCGAAGGCAGCCUCCUGGGCCAGCACUGACGCUCAUGCACGAAAGCGUGGGGAGCAAACAGG
rnacentral:rRNA from 1 species